UACAGAGAGUGCAAACGUUGUUCGGAAUUACUGGGCUUAAAGCGCACGUAGGCGGCGCCGCAAGUGUGGGGUGAAAGCCCACGGCUUACCCGUGGAAUUGCCUGGCAGACUGCGGUGCUAGAGGAUGGUAGGGGAGAGCGGAACUCCUGGUGGAGCGGUGAAAUGCGUAGAUAUCAGGAGGAACACCGGUGGCGAAGGCGGCUCUCUGGUCCAUUUCUGACGCUGAGGUGCGAAAGCUAGGGGAGCAAACGGG
rnacentral:ncRNA from 2 species